rnacentral:lncRNA from 10 species
GGAACAUACCAGGAAAGCUGAGAGAAUCCACAGACCUUUGAAGGAAGCAGGUUGCUCCUGCAGGCCUUGGGAGACAGCCCGAAAACUGGCCCUUCCAUCUGCCCAUGCUGCCCCCAUCUCCUGAUUUGUGAAAUUCAUCAGGUGUGCACCCUUCUAAUGGCUGCUCCGAUGAAAACAGUAAAAACCCAUCAAGCCAGACCAAGAGGAGUGACCUACUUAUAUCAGAUUGUGUUAACUUUCUGAGAAGAGACAGACUCAGACCCAGAGAGGAGAACACCAUGUGGAGAUGGAGGCAGAGGUUGGAGUGAUGCACCUACAAGCCAAGGAACACUGUGGAUGGCAGCAGCUGCCAGAAGCCAGGAGAGAGGCAUGGAGCAGGUGCUCCCUCAGAGUCACCAGCAGGAACCAACCCUGCUGACACUUUGAUUUCAAACCUCUGUCUUCCAGAACGGUGAUAGAAUAAAUUUCUGUUGUUUUAAGCCAUCCAAGUCUGUGGUAAUUUACUAUGGCAGCUCUAGGAAACUAACACUAGUGUAGGAUAAAAAAUUUUCUCAACUCUGUCCCCUUGUUUUCUCUCAUUAUGAUGCCUAUCACUGGCCGGACCCAACUGGAAGCUGGAAAGCAAGGGAACUGUGAUGUGGUCCCUGGAGGUCAGCCUCUAGGUGCAAUGCAGAGCAGAGAAUGGAUGGAGGGUGACUAUAAAUGGAGAAUAAUCCAGGCUUCUAUCUUCUUCAAGUUCAGAGUCAGGUGGAAGAUGACAUGAACCCCAAAGGCUCUGGAGAAACUGCUGUCUCGACCCCUCUUUUCCACCCCUUGCACCUGGUUCUGUUGUGAACACAAGCAGGCUGAGAACACAGCUUGUUCCUCAAAACUGCAUCUUGGACAAGAAAUUGACUUUCCCCGGGGAACAAUGUUAUAAACAGGCGAGGAGUGGUAUGUGCGUGCCGAAGAAAGAGAUGAUGUAGAAGUUAAAAGGCUGGAGAACAAUAAACAUGAAAAGCAGUUCAACGUCAUUUGUAAGCAAGCCAACUCAAGUAAAAAUAACACUGAAAUGAAUUCAUUGCCACCCUUCAGGUUGGCACAGAAGGAUGUGAUGGCUGUCUCCCAGGGCUGGUGAAGGCAGGGGGAAGAAGACUCACUCUCUACUGCUGCAGGACUGGUUGUGGAUUCGGUGAGGCGUAAAGACCCCAGCACAGUGCUGGCUCCCUUUCUCUUCCUGCUCAGCUCCUUUCCCGACAUCUGCAACUUGCAUUGUAAAGCAAAAGACAGGGAAAAGUCAAGGUUCAGCAUCAAUGUCUCAGUGCUGUGCAGUGUUAUUUGCAUAAACCUUCCCAUUCACUGAUGGAAACCCCUGGCAUGUUCAUGCCAAGCAUUCUUAGCAGUACACAUACCUGGGGCAGAUCAAGUGCUAUCAUGAGAAAAUUGACUGCAUUAAAUCACACAGGUCUUAAGGGAAGUGGAAGGGCAGGGUGGGAACUGAUAGCUAAGAACAACAUUUGCACCUUAUGACAAUUGCCUCAUCAUUGUAAUCCCAUUGGGGAAACCUAUACAAAUAUGACUAGUGUAGCUGCAGUGUGUGUUCUGCCCAUAGCUCCUCAGGUAUUUUCACCAUUUCCACCUGUGCCAACCUGAUGUCUGGUAACUGAUACUUUCAUCUUUGUUGUGGUUUGCCUUCAGAGUACAGAAAACCCCUUUGUCCCUGUAAACAGCCAGCAGGAAGUGCCUAUGAAUUAAUCACGCUUAACCACUGACAAGUGGUUUAUGAGUGUUGGUCAAGAAUAUUCAGCUCCCUGGCCAAAAUAAUUCUGAACCCUAUUUUGUGCUAUUUACCAGAGCGCCCCCAGGGGAUUAAGCUUUAAUCUUCCACUGUUGUAGCUGGCUGAAUAAUGGUUGCCUUCCCCUCCCAUACCACUUGCCCUCCUUCCUACCCCUGUUCCUUGCACCUCCCUAUAGGUGGCUUGUCCUCAGAGACUUGGCUCAAAGUCUGCUUCUGGGGCAAUAUAAACUAAGACAAGUGGCAAGCGAGGCCUGCUUAGCCCAUGUUUUCCAGAUAUACAUUUUGAGACUCAGGGACUGGGCUAACUUUGGUCACUUGCUCCUUGUUUUUUUGUGUUAAUCCAUCACCAACAGUUGCACAGCUCAUUCAUAACAUCCACAUAAUGAAAUCAUGUAUCCAGCAAGGGUUGAUAGGUGUAAAUUAUUAACAGUUAUUAAAUACUUUUAUUAUACUCACUUAACUACAGCAGAAAAUGGGGAACUAAGGAUAAGUAACUUGUCAGGAUCACACAGUAGGUGAAGGAGCCGGAUUUCAAACCCAGCACCUAUAUUUUGAACCCCCAUUUGUAAUGACUGUACCAUACUGUACCCUUAAUAGAAUGAUGCCUGCUCUACUGUUUUGUGUCAAACCUUAUUGCCAUUCUUCUUAUAAGUCUUUUGUUUCAUGUAAGUGAACAGAGAAAUAAACAUACAGGCCCAUGGGGAUGUAGAUGGCCAAGUGAGAGGGAGGCUAAAUAGGCAGAGCUCUCUAGAGUUCCCAUCCCUUUUCAACCAAGAAAUUCCAUAUUCAUAUGUUAUAUGAGUACAUUCUCUAUAGGAUGUCACAGGGUACUGGGGAAGUGUUUGGCAGCCACCAGUGUGGUAAGACAUGACCUAUUUUGCACUGUAGCUCUGCGGGGACUCAGGUGUGGAAAUAGAGUCUUCGGAUGGGGGUGUGGGAUCACUAGGAAGCCAUAGGAGGAGCAGGAGAUGAGGUUACUUGUAUCAGAGACUAAGGGACAUUCAGAGCAAGAGAGGCUGGUGGGUUUAAAGAGAUAUUUG